rnacentral:rRNA from 1 species
UCUCAGGGUAGGGUAGGGUAGUAUUAGGAAAUCUGGAAACCUAAAAUUUUUGGCGGUUUUUUAGGCUAGUUAGAGGAACCUGUUCUGUGAUAGAUGCUCCACGUUGGGUUUAACUUUUUCUAAGGUAUAUAUACCGCCGUCGUAAAGCAAUUUUUUUAGGGAUUGUUGUUGAAUCAGGGUUGAGGUGAUGACAGGUCAAGGUGUAGCUUAUGAUGAAGGGUGAGAUGGGUUACAAUAUUAGAUUGGUAUUUAUGGAUGUGAUAUUAGAGAAAUUUUUCAUUGAGAGUGGAUUUAAAAGUAAGAUUUUAAUUAAAAUGUGAGUUUGAUUUUAGCUCUAAAAGAUGU